UCAUCGGUAGAUCUCUGGGCGGUGGCAGCAAAACUACCCCCAGGGUGAGUCCCCCUUGUUCUCCUCAGAUAUCCCUAGGUGAAUUCCCUUUUUUUUUUUUUACAACAUUUAGUGUCCCGAAUUUCCGGGCACGACACCAGCAGUAGACAAGAGAUAUGGAGGGAAGAGAGAGAAAAUAACAAGAGAACGGCGAGGGAAGUGGCUGGCAAGUCUGGCAAGAGCUGACUUAUCCGAGGCUGGAAAAAGGCAUCUCCUCGUGUGCAGUGAUCAUUUUUUGAGUGGACGGCCAGCAGUCCUUGAGGAUACUAGUAAUCCAGACUGGGCCCCAACACAGAACCUUGGUCAUCGUAAAGUGUCCCAGGAAUUGGUCGCCAUCAGUUGUGCUCGGCAUCAAAGGAUCCAGGAGAGAAAGUUGAAGAAGGAUAAGGAGAUGUUUAUGGCAGCGCAGACACUCAUGGACAUACAGGAAUACACUCAACCUUGCCAUGACGAAGUUCAUGUUGAACAACAGGAACAGUUGUCCCUACUAGCCAUCGGCCAGACAUUUCAGACAGAGAAGCAAACCAUUGUGUCUAGACCAGCUGCCUGCCAGACAGAAACAGUAACAGUUGCAACUGUCGGCUGCCAAAGAGACCUCACCCUAAUGGAGACGACCAUGUUUGAUCAGCAGGAUGAGGACUUGAACCAGUUACGAACAGAGGUGUAUGAACUCCGUUCUACAGUAGGUGACUACAAUAACCUCAACCUCAGUAAUGAUGAUGAAAAAGUCCUUUUUAUACAGGGCUGCCAAACUAUGCUGUACUGAUGUGCAUUUUUUAUUAUGUUUGCCUUAAUAUUACCCAUUCAAUUAAUUCAAAGCUAUCCCCGUUUCAAGAAUUUGUUAUGUUUCUGAUGCAUCUUCGUUUAAACACAUGCUUCCAGGAUUUGGCCUACAGAUUUAAUGUAUCUCUUUCAACUGUGUCAAGGAUAUUUUAUAAAUGGGUAGAUACAGCAGAUACAAAAUUAAGACAUUCCAUUGUAUGGCCUACUGGCACAAUAGGCUGGGAAGAAAAUAAAUAAAAAAUAGAAAAAUAAAAAUCAGUCGACACACACACACACACACACACACACACACACACACACACACA